rnacentral:lncRNA from 1 species
GCACGAGCAUCAAUUUUUCUCUGCAUAAACCAAAAAAGAAUACAAAAUGUCUGUAAAUCUGUUCACCGUGAUAAACAAAUUUUAUGAUGAAUACACGACGAGAACGCCACUUAAGUUGAAAAUAAUUGAUGCAUACCUGACGUAUAUUCUGUUGACUGGGGUUGUGCAAUUUGUCUACUGUGCACUUGUUGGCACUUUCCCGUUCAACUCUUUCCUCUCGGGAUUCAUUUCCAGUGUCGGAUCCUUCGUGCUCGCCGUAUGUCUGAGAUUGCAAGUCAACCCAGCAAAUAAAUCCAGUUUUCAGGGAAUUUCAACAGAGCGUGCCUUUGCAGAUUUCAUCUUUGCCAGUGUAAUUCUUCAUUUAGUAGUCAUGAACUUCAUUGGCUAGUGCUUAAGCAGGAAGUUUUGUUUUCACAGAUUAUUUAGAGGUAGACUAGUACAGACAUCAUGGAUCCCCUCUCUGGAGUAUUUUCAUCUCAUUUAUGGUCUCUUAUGAUAACAUUUCGGCAGUUCGAUUAGAAUCACAUUCCUAUCCUAAAGGAGAGAAAUGAUGUCCAGAUUCUAGAAUACUAUUAGUUCAAAAUUGCAAGAACAUGUAGGGGCAUUAUCUAUGUUGCACUACAGGUAGCACUUUUUCAAUGAAAGGGCAAGACUAAUUACUUCAUUAAAAGAAUAAACAAAUUUCUUUCCCGUAUUUAUGGUCACAAUUAAAUACACUUUCAAACACCCUAACUGACAUCUAUUUGUACAGGGCAUUUCAAUGAAAAAGAAACCCAAUUUUUGCAAUUGUUUGAGGCAAAAUUAUCAAAUCAGUUGAAAGUUUAUAUCACUUCCACACUUCCAAAAAUGAUUUAUCGUCAUUCCAAAGAUACUUGAAAAAGGUUUCUAGGACCAUGCAUCACUCAAUGCCAUUGUUCUUAAAAAAAAACAAUUGGUUGAUUUGCAUUGUAAAUUGAUAGACAUAUGAAGUGUGCAUCAUGAUAGCACAACAUUGCUUAGAUAAAUAAGCAUUUAUAUUGAAAUUUAUUAAAUGGUAGCAGUUUCUAAAGGGGGGGGGGAUAAAAAAAAAAAAAAGAUUAGGGGACAGAAAGAAGUAGUCUGAUGUUUCUUGAUAUAUCAAUUUUCAUUGCAUCCAAUGUGUUGAACUGUUGAUCAUGCAAGUAAACCAAGCACAAUUUUACAAAGUAUCUCAACAAUGGAAGCAUGGUCACAGAAACAAUUAAGGUACCAUUGGAAUGAGAAUAAGAUGUACACUUUUGAAAUUCAUGAUUUUUAAUGUCACUAUUAUAUUUUUCUUUGGAAAAUACAUGAAAACUAGGUUUCCAUUGCAUGUAUUUGUUCAUUUACCUGUGAAGUCUUUAAGUCAUAUUUCAGCCAUCAUUGGUAUAAAGUGCAUAAUGUCUUUAAGUAUUCUUGCAGAAUAACUUCUGGCAAUGAAUGUGGGUUUUGUUUUUCAUGAAGGAUAUGGCAGUUUAAAUCCUUUCAUGUCUUUGUAAAAAAAACGACCAAAUGCCUCCUGUAGUCUAGUAGUGAUGAAUUUUUAAAAAGUAAUUUGCGUAUCAUUCUUGGUAUAAUAUAAUAUCUUGGAUUUAUAAAAUCGUAAUUAAAAAUAAAAGAACAAAAAAGAUAUUUGCACAU